CCUCUCAUUCUCACACUUCCCUCUUCAAACCCUGUUCUUUCUCACUCCUCUCUUCCAAAUACUUACCAUUCGUCCAUCGAUCGUGAGUGAAGAGUCUGUCGUGGUUUAGAUCUGGCCUUCGUGCAGGUUUGUUCGUCGUGCAAGUCGCGUCGUCACACCUAUAACUCGGAUUUGCUAGUCGUUCCGCCAGAUCUGCUACCAAUUUCGUCGUCAUUUGCGUGUCUCCAUCGGAUCUGCUAUUCGUUUCGUCGUCCUUCGCGUGUCUCCACCAGAUCUGUUGUCAUCGUCGUUCGUCGUUCGUUCCGCCGUCGGAUCAGGUCUUUGUCCAUCGCGCUACCGUCACCAUUAUGUUUAGUAUGCUCUUCUUCCCUUCUUUUUCCAUCGCUAUCACCAUCAGUAUGCUCUUCUUCUCUUUUCUUUCUUAAACUCACAGCAAUUUUUGUUCUUAUGUUUACGCCUCUCAACUGUUUGUGUGAAUGUCUUAAUGAAAGCCAACUACGGUUUCACUCCAAUAUGUCUCUCUGCUUCUAGAUUUGGGCCUUUUUAUGUGUCUAUGGCCUUUGAAAUUCGAUUUGAUUAAUGGUUUUGUUGUAUAUGAUACAUUUGUUGAAUUACUUGAAGUUUUAGAGCAGAAUUACUUGCUACCUUUUGUGAUAACAUCCUUAAGAAAGGUAGGAGUGAGAAGCUGAACGAUGAAGCAAUUGAGGAGACACUUGAGAAGUCGCAGGAAAAAAAAAAUUGCCCAAAGGCUUCUCUUUGACAAGAGUGCCAACGAUGACCAUGGGAGAAGUACAUUGACCAAGUUGAAGCAACAAUGUGGUGGCCAGUUCACCUUUAAGAUGGAGGGAAUGGUUCUUGAAUAUAUGUAUUGGAAGAGUUCUGUAAGGGAAUGAGAAUAAUCAAAAUGCUCGACAUUGUAUUUGGAAGGGGUGGAGAGGAAAUGGAUUUCUUACAAUAGCAAGGGAUUCACGUAAAAAUUGUUCUUGGUUCAAGGUAAAUUUUUGGUUUUAUUGUGGUAACAUCGUUAUGCUGUCGAAAAUUUUCCUUCGUCUUCGUAUCUCAUAUCUAGGUGCAACAAAGGAGUA